GACGAACGCUGGCGGCGUGCUUAACACAUGCAAGUCGAACGGUAAGGCCCUUCGGGGUACACGAGUGGCGAACGGGUGAGUAACACGUGGGUGAUCUGCCCUGCACUUCGGGAGAAGCCUGGGAAACUGGGUCUAAUACCGGAUAGGACCACUGCCUGCAUGGGGGGUGGUGGAAAGCUUUUGCGGUGUGGGAUGGGCCCGCGGCGUAUCAGCUUGUUGGUGGGGUGAGGGCGUACCAAGGCGACGACGGGUAGCCGGCCUGAGAGGGUGACCGGCCACACUGGGACGGAGAUACGGCCCAGACUCCUACGGGAGGCAGCAGUGGGGAAUAUUGCACAAUGGGCGCAAGCCUGAUGCAGCGACGCCGCGUGAGGGAUGACGGCCUUCGGGUUGUAAACCUCUUUCAGCACCGACGAAGCGCAAGUGAUGGUAGGUGCAGAAGAAGGACCGGCCAACUACGUGCCAGCAGCCGCCGUAA
rnacentral:rRNA from 1 species